AUACGGAGGAUCCGAGCGUUAUCCGGAUUUAUUGGGUUUAAAGGGAGCGUAGGUGGAUUGUUAAGUCAGUUGUGAAAGUUUGCGGCUCAACCGUAAAAUUGCAGUUGAAACUGGGAGUCUUGAGUACAGUAGAGGUGGGCGGAAUUCGUGGUGUAGCGGUGAAAUGCUUAGAUAUCACGAAGAACUCCGAUUGCGAAGGCAGCUCACUAGACUGUUACUGACACUGAUGCUCGAAAGUGUGGGUAUCAAACAGGAUUAGAUACCCUGGUAGUCCACACAGUAAACGAUGAAUACUCGCUGUUUGCGAUAUACAGUAAGCGGCCAAGCGAAAGCAUUAAGUAUUCCACCUGGGGAGUACGCCGGCAACGGUGAAACUCAAAUGAAUUGACGGGG
rnacentral:rRNA from 1 species